CUCAGCCGGCAGCCGCUAUUUUGUUUAAAUCACCUCACCACCUAUUCUCUCUCUCUCUCUACUCUCUCUGUGGGCGGCGCUCUUGUCUGCCGUCGGGGUUAGGGUUUCCCUUUCCCGGGGAUUCUCCAGCUCCAUGCAAGUAGUUCCAGCUUCUCUGCAUUACUUUGAAGCUAUGCAUCUCAACGGGGAGUAACAAACCAUGCUUAGCAUGUACAGUGGAUUGGAAACUGAAAGGAAUGGAAUCGCAACACUGAAAGACCCAGCUUUGACAAUGAAUCCAAUCCAAUGAAAGACCCCCAAACCCCUUGAGAGAGACUGUGCAAGCCAUUAUUCCUCCUCCCUUAAUCUUCAUUUGCUGAUAGCCCUGAAGCUGAGAGGGCUGCCCUUCAAUUCCUUCUUCUCCGCCGAAUCAGGUUGGCACUGCAAGUCUUGAUUUUGAUUCGCAUUGUGGGCACCCUUGCUGUCUUCUUCCGUUUCUUGAUCUGUUGGGUGUGUGAAUGUGGGCUCAAGUUGAGAGCUUUUAGCUCAAUUUCGAUGUUAUUGGAUGUUGUCUUUGGGGUUUGAGGGUAAAAAUGUCGCAAUGGUGAUUGUUUUUCUUUGAUCUGUUUCGUAGGUGUUCUUGGUUUUUCUGUCCUUGUUCUAUGUUGUUGGCAAGGGGAGGAUCUCGUCUGGUACUUGACAAAAUGUCGGACACAGAGUGUUGGCGUUUUCUCAUGCAAGCUCUUGAAUGAGUUUGCCUCUGAUAUGCUUGGUUUGUACGUCUCUUGGAUGAGUAAAAUUAAAACGAAAUUAGACAACCAGGAACAUUAACCUGUCUCUGGUUUUUCAUGAUUUUGUCUGUCUACUGUUCUAUUCUGCUUGUCAAACAGCUAAAAGGACAUUAGGAAUUUUACAAACAUUGCUGCUUAUUGUUAAUGGUAUAAUUGCAAUGAACUGAGUUCCUUCGUGUCA